AAACUGCAACUGGAGAUCAAAGAUGAUGCUGUACACAAGAAAGUAACGGAACUCCAAUCAGACUGUAAGAAAAUUUUCUACAACACAAGACUGAUGAGUGAAUACACAAAGAAAUGAUGGAAGCAAAAGUAAUUUACUUAGAUUUUUGCUACGUCAGGAAACUACAGUUGUUGGCUGAUAGAAAAAUUACAGCAGCACUAUACAACGAGAGAGCUAUUUCUGCCCCUUGUCAGUGAAGUGUUACCGAUAUCUGAGAGUGAUCCAGCCGGAAGUCAGAGUUGUGAGUCCCAACUCAUGCAUGGAGUUUGUGAUACUUUCUUCAACAAAUGGUCAAGAGUAAUGCUCUAAGAAUAACAGCAAAAAUGCAAACUGGGGAAAAAUGCCCCCUGAGGUGCAGACAAUCUGCUGUCUUUGGAUAUAAUUAACUUUGGGAUAAGAAGAUUUUAGGAAAAUGCACAAUGAAGGACAGACACCAAGCACUCAGCAAACACUCUGGUUGAGUUUAAUUAGCAGUGAUUUUCAUGACACUAAAGUGAUUGUUUUUGAAACACAGCUGUCACUGCCUGUUGGCUGGGGUGAAGGAGGCAGCGCUAACUGCGUGAGAGAAGCAUUGUGGCCUCAAGGCAACACAGCAGAAACAGAGAAAGGCGCUUCAUCAACCUUGAAACUGCGCUAGAUAAAAUUUGGAGACGAAGGGGUAGGAAGGAGAGAAGGAAUCAGGGUUGUAAGUCUAGAUGGAGUACUUGGAGAGAAGGAGGGCGUCUCCUCUCCCUUUUCCACCCUCAGAAUCCCCAACCUUUUUAAAAAAAAGUGUGUGCUUUCUAUAC
rnacentral:lncRNA from 1 species